CCAUUGCUCAUUCAUGUUCAUCUCAUUAGGUUGGCUCUAAAGCCUAGCUACGAGCAUGUCUAUUCCAUUCAUUUGCCAGAGUUUAAUUGUUAAUUAGCAGUGGGCUUAGGAGGCGGCAGGAACUUAGGAUUAGGGUGAAGGAAGAACCAAAGUAUCAUUGUGUCACUAUAUUCUUGAUCUCCAAACCCUACAGACUACAGUGAUGGAGAUCGUGGACAUUGAUCAGUAGCGAUGUAUGGGAUGGACUAAUGAGGACGUUGAUGCAUAUUUGUUAAAUUAUAAGCAGUAAGAGAGAGGUACUGCAUUUUGCAAUUAGGCUUGUGUUCUAGAAAGAUAUCCUUCCAAGAUUCAUCUAAAGGUGACAACAUUAUUUUUCACUUGAAUGAGCUAAUUGAUUAUGGGGUUAAACACAACCAAAGAAAACACGCAGUUAGCAUAAAGUAAAUAAUAUGGUGUAUGAUUAAGGAUCAACGCCUGAUGUAUUAGUUCCUUUAUGUGUAAUAGAGCUCUUCUCCUACAUGCGAUAUAU
rnacentral:lncRNA from 1 species